AUCUCGUGGUUCCGUCAUCAAUCGAUACGGACGGUACGUUCGUCUUUCGUCGCGCUUCGUCAUGCCCCGCUUCGCUCAGCGCGCAAUCCACGUUUCCCCAUUACUCCCGAGCAAGAUAUCCGGAAACAAUCCUCCUGUCACGCAUGGUAUCUAGCGUUAACUCACGUGCCAGAUCCAUCGGGGCAAGCGAUUGUUACAGCGCCCCUCGAAGCAGUCCUCAUCUCACCUCCAACCCACCGGCGGCGUCUGGCAAGCUCCUCCGUGCUGAUGGAGAAGCCGCGUAGCUUUUGGGUCGAGGACGACGAGGGAUGGACGGCCUUCUCGCUUGUGCCGCCCAUGCCCACCACCGAGGCCCUCACGCUCCGUAUCCGGGUCGACGACAAGGCCGGCGCCGCUGAAGCAGAGUAGAAGGACUCCGGUGCCACUCCCAGCGCCGAAUUCACGCCUCGAUUUGGCUCUCGUGGUUAGAUUUGCUAUGAUUCAGAGUUGAGUUGAUUCGUCGACGUGCUUGCCUGAUAGCUCAGACUUCUGACAUGUGAUUGCGGAGCUGGAGUAUGAUCCGCGCCCUAACGGAACUUUCGCCGCCAUACUUCAGGAUACUGCUCGACCAUCCUUCCAAGUGUCGUCACUUUCCGGGCCAGUCUCUGAAGCUCGGGCCAGUCUCUGAAGCUGUCCCUCCGAUUGUCACUGAGAUCCUCAUCACACCUGGACCAUCCUCCAUAUAUGGAGCCGGGGCUAGAAGUACUGCAUAUACACUGACGAAACUGAUUGUUCUAGCUUUGUCGAGCAUUGCCUAGACUAUUCCCGUGACAUGGUCUGCUCCAGGAUUAUACGACCACACUCUGCUAUUGCAAUGCCUUCUCUCAUUUGACGUUAGAUGUGCAUUUUAUUUACUGCUAGCACAUGGAUGAUUUUUGGUCCCCAAGCAAGUGUAGGAUUCAAACCAUUGCGCGAUGCAUGUGCAGGAGUCUACUUUGAUUUAGUUAGACGUAUAAGAGAGACAUCACCAGCAUAAGAAAUUUUAUUGGUCCUUAAAGAACAUAAGAGUUGCAGGGGUAACAAAACAAGUGUUGUACUUUAAAAAAAUGAUUUGAUCUUUAAGGCUGCCUUGUGCUACUCCCUCUUAUCCAUCUAUUUGUAAGAAAACCAUGUGUGAUGGAUUCAGGUGUACAAAAAAGUCAAGAUGGACACCAUGGACCUGCUAUUCAGCAUGGAAAGCGAAAAAAAAAUGUGGAGGCACAUGCCAAGUUUCUCCAAUUCUCAGAUGAAAAUACAUACAAGAGAAGAUCAAUUGUUCUGGAAUACCAAUUUGACUAUUUGUUUCUUGUUUUGUUUGACUAAAAUCUUAGAGGCUCCAUAUGAAGGGCUUAAUGGAUUUAUGGAUUUUGGUGGCUUUGCAGAAGAAGUGAGGCAAUGAGAAGUGUGCAUCCGUGACUUUGUCUAACUUGCCAAGAUUGGGCUCAGGGUGUUCAUAUUCUUGCUUGUUGAAGCCAUUGUUAUCUACACCAACCUCAUGACGUGAUAAGCAAGCUUUGCAAAAAAAAAUCAAACGCGUGUGCCAAUAUAGUAUUUCCCUCCCCAGGUGCAUAUUUUAUUACUUAGUUUUUCACAUGCAUCUCCGAGUGUGUACUAUAUAUUUAUUUUCCAAGUACAUGUUGCAAUUCAAAUAAUUGUUUGCAAGAUGCAGCCUCACAUGUCAUCCAGAUGGUUCUUAACCUGUAGAUUUGUAUCAUUACUCGCAAUCAAGUUUUUCUUUUUUGGAAUACAUAAUAUGAAAUUCCAUAGUUACUUCA